GCACCCAUAGCUCAGCUGGAUAGAGCGCUGCCCUCCGAAGGCAGAGGUCAGAGGUUCGAAUCCUCUUGGGUGCGCCA
rnacentral:tRNA from 43 species